AAAGCCCUGCUAUGUGUGCGAAUUGUCUUCAUGUUUUGAGCCAACAGAUUAAUAUAGGGAGUCUCGCUCUUAUUAUGGCGUGUAAGCUUCAGUACGACAUUUGAAGUAACAUAAAGUAAUUAGGCUGACACCCACCUGCGGUGCGCAGGUUCAAAACAAAGACAAAUAAACGGCAUGGUGGGGAAUUU
rnacentral:other from 1 species